rnacentral:rRNA from 1 species
UACGUAGGGUGCAAGCGUUAAUCGGAAUUACUGGGCGUAAAGGGCGCGUAGGCGGCCUGUUAAGUCGAACGUGAAAUCCCCGGGCUCAACCCGGGAACUGCGUCCGAUACUGGCAGGCUUGAAUUCGGGAGAGGGAUGCGGAAUUCCAGGUGUAGCGGUGAAAUGCGUAGAUAUCUGGAGGAACACCGGUGGCGAAGGCGGCAUCCUGGACCGAGAUUGACGCUGAUGCGCGAAAGCCAGGGGAGCAAACGGG